GCGCUCCCAGGGAGCUGUGGGAACGCGGGCGCGGCCCUGGGAAAUGCAGUUCUCGUGGCGCGUCUUCUGCCGCUUCCUAUUACUAGAAAACAUCAGCUGAUUUACAAAUGCUUACCAACAUCUAAAGGCUUCCUUUGAUGGCAGUCAUCUGAGAAGUGACUCCAAAUGGGCAUCAAUCACACUGGCCCAACUAAAGUCAACUCUACCUAAGGAGCCCCUAAUGGAAAAAAAUGAAAUGAAUAACACAUUCAUUUAAAUUCUA